CAGGAAGAAAUCACUAUGGAGUUUUGUCUAAGCUGGCUUUUCCUUUUUGCUCUUUUAAAAGGUGUCCAGUGUGAGGUGCAACUGGUGGAAUCUGGGGGUGACCUGAGACAGCCUGGGCAGUCUCUGACACUCUCCUGUGCAGCCUCUGGAUUCACUUUCAGUAGCUACUGGAUGAGUUGGGUUCGUCAGCCUCCAGGGCAGGGACUGCAGUGGGUUGGAGAAAUUAAUCCUGAUAGCAAUACUAAGAACUACGCAAAUUCCGUCAAGGGUCGAUUCACCAUCUCCAGAGACAAUGGCAAGAACACUCUGUAUCUAAAAAUGGACAACCUAAGAGUGGAGGAUACAGCCUUGUAUUACUGUGCAAGAGUCACAGUAUGUGGAAGUCACUCUGCUAGAUUGCCGGAUAAAUUCUGGGGAAGAGGUUCUGAGAAAGUGCUUUGA